GAUGAACGCUGGCGGCGUGCUUAACACAUGCAGGUCGAACGGAAAGGCCACAGCUUGCUGUGGUACUCGAGUGGCGAACGGGUGAGUAACACGUGGGUGAUCUGCCCUGUACUUCGGGAUAAGCUUGGGAAACUGGGUCUAAUACCGGAUAGGAAUCACAUGUGGGUGUGUGGUUGGAAAGCUUUUGCGGUAUGGGAUGAGCUCGCGGCCUAUCAGCUUGUUGGUGGGGUAAUGGCCUACCAAGGCGUCGACGGGUAGCCGGCCUGAGAGGGUGUACGGCCACAUUGGGACUGAGAUACGGCCCAGACUCCUACGGGAGGCAGCAGUGGGGAAUAUUGCACAAUGGGCGCAAGCCUGAUGCAGCGACGCCGCGUGGGGGAUGACGGCCUUCGGGUUGUAAACUCCUUUCGUCAGGGACGAAGCGAAAGUGACGGUACCUGGAUAAGAAGCACCGGCUAACUACGUG
rnacentral:rRNA from 1 species